GCCGGGCGUGGUGGCUCACGCCUGUAAUUCCAGCACUUUAGGAGGCUGAGGCGGGUGGAUCACCUGAGGUCAGGAGUUCGGGACCAGCCUGGCCAACAUGGUGAAACCCCGUCUCUA
ensembl:misc_RNA Metazoa_SRP Metazoan signal recognition particle RNA